rnacentral:lncRNA from 1 species
GAAAACUCUAGGGGCCCCUAUCCUACAAUCCUAAUACUAGAAGAUUAUAUACAUACGAUUAUACAUAUAUUAUACCUCCAACGAUGAUUUUUAGUAUAGGCGAUUGAGUGGGCGGCUAAUAGGGUUAAUUCUUGGUCGGAACAUAAAGACUCAGUCUUUAGCAGCACACAACCAUGGGAAAAUGAUCUAGCAAAACAAGAACAAAGAAUCUAACAGCACAAAUCAAAACAACAAAUAAAAAAACAAAUCACACGAAAAAUUCAUUCCACUCUAAAAUUCAAAACAGAGAACUCAAAACUCAAAAAUCAAUUACAAAAACGUAACAUGAACGAGAAAAUAAACAGGUUUAAACAUAUAUGAGAUGAAUGUAGAGAAAGUGUGCUUACACAAUGUAGACUUUGGUAGCCAUUGAAAUUAAGGUUAGGUGAAUGAAUGAGUUGGAAUACAAAGAGAAAGAGGGAUGGUAUUGGUGGAAGAGAGUGGGGAGGCCAUUGCUGCUU